CGUCAGGAUGAACGCUAGCUACAGGCUUAACACAUGCAGUCGAGGGCAGCGGGUCUUAGCUUGCUAGACUGCUGGCGACCGGCGCACGGGUGAGUAACGCGUAUCCAACCUUCCCCCUAGUAGGGCAUAGCCCGGCGAAAGUCGGAUUAAUACCCUAUGUUCUUCGUAGAUGACAUCUGAAAUGAAGCAAAGAUUAAUCGCUAGGGGAUGGGGAUGCGUCUGAUUAGGUAGUCGGCGGGGUAACGGCCCACCGAGCCAUCGAUCAGUAGGGUUCUGAGAGGAAGGUCCCCCACAUUGGUACUGAGACACGGACCAAACUCCUACGGGAGGCAGCAGUGAGGAAUAUUGGUCAAUGGGCGAGAGCCUGAACCAGCCAAGUAGCGUGCAGGAUGACGGCCCUAUGGGUUGUAAACUGCUUUUGGUGGGGAAUAAAGUGCAGUACGUGUACUGUUUUGUAUGUACCCACAGAAUAAGGACCGGCUAAUUCCGUGCCAGCCGCCGC
rnacentral:rRNA from 1 species